CCGGCCAUUCCCAACCCCCCAACAGCAUCCCCCAUCCCCCAUCAGGAUCACCCCCCACCCCUGCUUCGGCCCUCCUACACUUCUCCCCCACCCCAGCUUUUCUUCCUCUCAGCUACACCCCCAGCCCGGCUCCUUUCCUACCACCCCCAGCGACGCCCCCAUAUCACUACCCCAGCCCCCCCAGCCUCGCCCAGGGCGGGAGGAGCCGCCGCGUCGCCGGGGCAACCGCCGCCCCCCGCCUCCCGUCCACUCGCCCCACCUCUGCCUGGGCGUGGAGCGAAGGCACCGUGGCUGCGCGCAUUUCCGAGCUAGGGAAACACUAGAGCCCCAGCAUACCCAGUAUGGACACCCUGCAGCUCCCCUCUGCUGAAGGACCCCUCACCACAUCCACAGCAUAGACACUGCCUACCGCAGCAGGAGGCACCCAGAAUCUGGGGGCCAUGACCUGGCUUCCGUUUCCAGAAUUUUGGGACUUGAGCCCACUCUCUUCCUCCUCGGUGCAGAGACGGUCGGUUUCGGCUAGCGGUCCUCUUCGUCUGCCUUCCUAACAAUUAGCCUCUGCUGGGUCCUGUGACAGAUGAUGGCGUUUUGAACCCCUGUGAGAUAAGUGACCUAGACUCAAAUCGUGAUCUCAGCGGCUUCUGGAUGAGCCCAACCUAAGAAGCAGUUUGUAAUCAGUCGAAGCCUGGGAACGGACUGCCAGCUGUCUCAGCAGCAAAAGGCCCCUGGUUGACGAUGAAUCUACUAACAGGAUACUGAGAAGGGCGCAGUACCUUCUGUGGCAUUUCUGCCCAAAAUGCAUACCCUCCGCCUAACGUGAGGAAACAUCAGAGAAAUCCAAAUUGAGGGGAUAACUGGCUGGUGCCCUUUGAAAGUGUCAAGGUCAUGAAAGACACAGAAAGACUGAAGAAGGGGAAUGGUUUGGAGCAAACACUUUAGUUUGACAACUGAAUGUAAUGCGGGGUGUUGGAUUGGAUCCUCGACCAGAAAGAGGACAUGAGUGGGAAAAAUGGUAAAUUCUGAAUAAAGCCUGCAGGUUAGUAAAAACAGUGUUGAAUCAAUGUCAGUAUCCCGGUUUGGGUCAUCGUGCUGUGGCUGUGUUAGACGUUAACAUUAGGGAAGCUGUUGAAGGAUACACAGGAACUCUGUACUAUUUUUACCACAUCUUUGUCAGUGUAAAAUUAUUUUAACAUAAAGGUUAAAAAAAGCAUCCCCUACAAAU